rnacentral:misc_RNA from 1 species
AGUGACAUACCUAAUGAAUAAUUAUCAAUCCAUGAAUAAAAAGCACAAUUGGAUCAAAUAAAUCAGAAUAAAAAGAUGAUUUAAACUAAAAGCAUAAUUAAGAUGCUUUUCUUAAGUGGGGUUGUGGAAAUGUCUCUAUAAUGGGUGUACCUCUCCAAUCACUGUACUAACUGACCUGAACCGAGAGAUCGAGAGAAGGCGAGAGAGGUCCACCAGCAGAAAAUAAGAGAAAUAAAUCAGUGUAUGAGUGCAGAAGAAAAG